AUGUCGGGUUUUAACCGUAGGUUACCGUUGAAAAAGUUCUAAUAGGCAUCAGUGGAUAAGCAAGGGAUUUAUUAUAUUCUUAAAAGAUCACACAAAAGCCAUCGAAUCAUCCAUCAUAAUAAAUCACACGCCUACAUAUGAGAAUAUACACUUUUGGUGGCCAUUAAAUGAGAUAAACAUAAUUAUCACAUGAAGUGACUAUUGGCACAAAACAAAAAGGAGCUGACAUCUUUUGGGCCGCUGACAUAUGAAUUUAGGAGGCUGCUGUUGGAUUUCUUUGGAGGCAGACAUAGUGGGCCGAUCUAGGGAACAUUUGGGUUUGUGUUUAAAAUUUUAGGAGAACCACAUCAUCAAGGGGGAAUUACAGCCGCCAAACUAAAAAGAAAAGAGGGGAGGAGGUGAUUGACGGCAGCUUUGAGAGGCAAGAGCAGGGACGCACGGAGAAGGCAGCCGCCUUCGGCGGCUGUGCACGGUUCAAGAUAUGAGUGUCUAGGUGGAUUUCUCCAAGUGAACGGUUCGUAAGGUACUAAUCGAAAUGGGAUGGCUACUCCUAGUAUCAAAUAAAGAGUCUUGGAAGCUUUUGGUGCUUAAAUCUAUUGAACAAUAUUUCUUUUUGUUUUGAUCCGC
rnacentral:lncRNA from 1 species